rnacentral:rRNA from 1 species
UACGUAGGGUGCGAGCGUUAAUCGGAAUUACUGGGCGUAAAGCGUGCGCAGGCGGCCGCGCAAGUCAGGUGUGAAAUCCCCGGGCUCAACCUGGGAAUUGCGCUUGAAACUAUGCGGCUUGAGUGUGGCAGAGGGGGGUGGAAUUCCACGUGUAGCAGUGAAAUGCGUAGAGAUGUGGAGGAACACCGAUGGCGAAGGCAGCCCCCUGGGCCAACACUGACGCUCAGGCACGAAAGCGUGGGGAGCAAACAGG